rnacentral:rRNA from 1 species
UACGUAGGGUGCAAGCGUUGUCCGGAAUUAUUGGGCGUAAAGAGCUCGUAGGCGGUCUGUCGCGUCUGCUGUGAAAACUCGGGGCUUAACCCCGGGCCUGCAGUGGGUACGGGCAGACUAGAGUGCGGUAGGGGAGACUGGAAUUCCUGGUGUAGCGGUGAAAUGCGCAGAUAUCAGGAGGAACACCGGUGGCGAAGGCGGGUCUCUGGGCCGUAACUGACGCUCAGGCACGAAAGCGUGGGGAGCAAACAGG